UACGUAGGUGGCAAGCGUUGUCCGGAAUUAUUGGGCGUAAAGCGCGCGCAGGUGGAUUCUUAAGUCUGAUGUGAAAGCCCACGGCUCAACCGUGGAGGGUCAUUGGAAACUGGGGAACUUGAGUGCAGAAGAGGAAAGUGGAAUUCCAAGUGUAGCGGUGAAAUGCGUAGAGAUUUGGAGGAACACCAGUGGCGAAGGCGACUUUCUGGUCUGUAACUGACACUGAGGCGCGAAAGCGUGGGGAGCGAACAGG
rnacentral:rRNA from 1 species